GACGCAUCGAGCUGUGGAAGUUUCACUGUAGCAGAAGUGGUCAACGCCAGUUUCUCCCGAUUCCGGCCACCUCCGGCGACAAACCAUAAUCAUUUGGAAGCGCCUUGCGAUGUAGAUGAUGCUCCCCAAAUAUUUUGCAGCGAUUUGAAGCGUGGAGGAAGAAUUGAAGGGCAAUGUUGCGAGCUACGGCUAGAUGAAGGAACUCGUUUGCGUGGUCGCCCAUUAGUACUUUUGCAGGCGCUAUUAGUUGAGGUCGGGCGUACAUGGAUCGAGGCAUAGUUGACGAAUAGCUUCCGCGCUUCUUUGUUUGGCUCUGAUCUAUUGUGGGUUACUAUUUUGGGUAGUCCUCUUUAGGGGUGACUCGACCAGUUCUCGGUAGAGUUAUCUCUAAGGUGGGCCCCGCAGGGCCACCUCGGAUUUCAGGGUGAAAUUCGGGGCGGGUCCUGUCAGGGUAUAUAUACAAGUACAAAGGAGUAGUCUAACUCUAAUAGGAAACAAUCUUUCCAUAAUUACAGGAUAUCCUAAUUAAAUAAAAUCCUAAUUACAUACAGAUUUACAGAGAUUCUACACUUAAUACACACUAGCUAGCUACCAAGUAAAUUCGUUUUCGUUCGCAUGCAGCAACAGCUCUCUGCUGGGUGGUGAAUAUCAGAGCCGGCUCUCAACAUGUGCAACAAGUGCAACAGCACAGGGCCUCAAAUUUGAGAGGGCCCAAUUUUUUUUUUAAGGUUUUAUGUGUAUUAAAAUAAGUAUUAAAAACUGUAAAGAAUGUAAAAUAGGGCCCUAGAGGACCAACAUACUCUUCUUUCUGCGUUCACAUUUUUUUGAUUGAGAGAAUGAGAGGGCCCAGUUUUCAUUUUUUAUGGCUUUGUUUUAAAUAAAUAAAUAUUAAAAACUAAAAUAAUAAAAAAGAGGCCCAUCCAACCAAAACUUAUCCUUUCCUUCUUUUUCUGUGU